rnacentral:rRNA from 1 species
UGGUAGUCCACGCUGUAAACGAUGUCGAUUUGAAGGUUGUUCCCUUGAGGAGUGGCUUUCGGAGCUAACGCGUUAAAUCGACCGCCUGGGGAGUACGGCCGCAAGGUUAAAACUCAAAUGAAUUGACGGGGGCCCGCACAAGCGGUGGAGCAUGUGGUUUAAUUCGAUGCAACGCGAAGAACCUUACCUACUCUUGACAUCCAGAGAACUUAGCAGAGAUGCUUUGAUGCCUUCGGGAACUCUGAGACAGGUGCUGCAUGGCUGUCGUCAGCUCGUGUUGUGAAAUGUUGGGUUAAGUCCCGCAACGAGCGCAACCCUUAUCCUUUGUUGCCAGCGAUUCGGUCGGGAACUCAAAGGAGACUGCCGGUGAUAAACCGGAGGAAGGUGGGGAUGACGUCAAGUCAUCAUGGCCCUUACGAGUAGGGCUACACACGUGCUACAAUGGCGUAUACAAAGAGAAGCGACCUCGCGAGAGCAAGCGGAACUCAUAAAGUACGUCGUAGUCCGGAUUGGAGUCUGCAACUCGACUCCAUGAAGUCGGAAUCGCUAGUAAUCGUAGAUCAGAAUGCUACGGUGAAUACGUUCCCGGGCCUUGUACACACCGCCCGUCACACCAUGGGAGUGGGUUGCAAAAGAAGUAGGUAGCUUAACCUUCGGGAGGGCGCUUACCACUUUGUGAUUCAUGACUGGGGUGAAGUCGUA